rnacentral:snRNA from 1 species
AGCUUUGUGCAGUGGAAGUAUCAUAGCCACUGAGGUUUAUCCAAGCUGUGAUUAUUGCUAAUGAAAUUAAUUCUCAGUAUUUC